rnacentral:siRNA from 1 species
AUAAUUAGGAGUACUUUCUCAAGU